UGAACGCUGGCGGUAGCCCUAACACAUGCAAGUCGAACGGCAGCACAGUAAGAGCUUGCUCUUAUGGGUGGCGAGUGGCGGACGGGUGAGGAAUACAUCGGAAUCUACUCUGUCGUGGGGGAUAACGUAGGGAAACUUACGCUAAUACCGCAUACGACCUACGGGUGAAAGCAGGGGAUCUUCGGACCUUGCGCGAUUGAAUGAGCCGAUGUCGGAUUAGCUAGUUGGCGGGGUAAAGGCCCACCAAGGCGACGAUCCGUAGCUGGUCUGAGAGGAUGAUCAGCCACACUGGAACUGAGACACGGUCCAGACUCCUACGGGAGGCAGCAGUGGGGAAUAUUGGACAAUGGGCGCAAGCCUGAUCCAGCCAUACCGCGUGGGUGAAGAAGGCCUUCGGGUUGUAAAGCCCUUUUGUUGGGAAAGAAAUCCAGCCGGCUAAUACCUGGUUGGGAUGACGGUACCCAAAGAAUAAGCACCGGCUAACUUCGUGCCAGCAGCCGCGGUAAUACGAAGGGUGCAAGCGUUACUCGGAAUUACUGGGCGUAAAGCGUGCGUAGGUGGUCGUUUAAGUCCGUUGUGAAAGCCCUGGGCUCAACCUGGGAACUGCAGUGGAUACUGGACGACUAGAGUGUGGUAGAGGGUAGCGGAAUUCCUGGUGUAGCAGUGAAAUGCGUAGAGAUCAGGAGGAACAUCCAUGGCGAAGGCAGCUACCUGGACCAACACUGACACUGAGGCACG
rnacentral:rRNA from 1 species